GGAAAGUGCAGGUAGAAGAGGGAGCUGCUAACACCGGUCACUGCUGCAGUGGCAUCAUGAUAUUUAAAACCUAUGACAUCAUAUAAUUCAACAAGACAGAGGAAAAGAUAAGGAGUGAUGUCACUAUGAGGAGGUGAGCAGGAGGUUGAUGCUGUAUUCAUCUCUGAGACUGUCUCAUUUGUGAACGUGAGAGCAAGAACAGAGACUGAGAGAGACAGAGAAGCACGAUGGCUGCAUUCACAUGGAUUCAGAUGUCUUCAAAUACUGAUACUGAUGCUUCAGUUUAAAGCUCUCUUAAUAUCUGCUGUUACAGUCAACGUGUGGACAAACACGAAAGGAAAAAAAAAGACAGACUGAAGAAAAAACCGCUGAGCAAAAUGAUGAGGAUGAAGAUAGACUGAACUGUGAAACAACUGGAGACUCUUCUGCUUCUGUCAGACUCCACUGAUCAACAACUCAAACAUCAUCUAACCACAUAAAUUAGCCCAUUGCUGUUGAAAACACUGUGUGUCUGUUUGUUGCUUGCUCUAAGUCUGAGACUUGCUGAGCCUUGACCCCUGUGGGACACGGUUAUUGAGGGUCAGGGUUGCUCCUCCCUGCCACUCCCUGCUGGUCACUGCCCUUGGGAACAGUCCUGAGGUCAUGCUGGGAUGGCUCUGACUCUUAACCUUUGGGGAGCUCUGUCUGCGGCCUACUUCCUU
ensembl:lncRNA